rnacentral:rRNA from 1 species
GAUAAACGCUGGCGGCGCACAUAAGACAUGCAAGUCGAACGGAAGUCGUUGUAAUGAUUUUGACAUGGACAGAGAACUUGUUCGAAGAAAAUGAAGAUUGACUUACAACAAUGGCUUUAGUGGCGGACUGGUGAGUAACGCGUGAGCAACCUGCCUGUUAGAGGGGGAAUAACAGUGAGAAAUCAUUGCUAAUACCGCAUAUGCCAUAGAAAUCACAUGAUUUCAGUGGGAAAGGAGUAAUCCGCUAACAGAUGGGCUCGCGUCUGAUUAGAUAGUUGGUGGGGUAACGGCCUACCAAGUCGACGAUCAGUAGCCGGACUGAGAGGUUGAACGGCCACAUUGGGACUGAGAUAGGCCCAGACUCCUACGGGAGGCAGCAGUCGGGAAUAUUGCGCAAUGGAGGAAACUCUGAACGAGCAAUGCCGCGUGAAGGAUGACGGUCCUAUGGAUUGUAAACUUCUGUUAUUAGGG